rnacentral:rRNA from 1 species
AUUGAACGCUGGCGGCAUGCUUUACACAUGCAAGUCGAACGGCAGCGCGGGCUUCGGCCUGGCGGCGAGUGGCGAACGGGUGAGUAAUGCAUCGGAACGUGCCCAGUAGUGGGGGAUAGCCCGGCGAAAGCCGGAUUAAUACCGCAAACGACCUGAGGGGGAAAGCGGGGGACCGAAAGGCCUCGCGCUAUGGGAGCGGCCGAUGUCGGAUUAGCUAGUUGGUGGGGUAAAGGCUUACCAAGGCGACGAUCCGUAGCUGGUCUGAGAGGACGACCAGCCACACUGGGACUGAGACACGGCCCAGACUCCUACGGGAGGCAGCAGUGGGGAAUUUUGGACAAUGGGGGCAACCCUGAUCCAGCCAUGCCGCGUGCGGGAAGAAGGCCUUCGGGUUGUAAACCGCUUUUGUUCGGGAAGAAAUCCUCUGGGCUAAUACCCCGGGGGGAUGACGGUACCGGAAGAAUAAGCACCGGCUAACUACGUG